rnacentral:lncRNA from 1 species
GUUUGCAAGCCUUCACGGAUGCUGAUUGGGCUGCUUGUCCUAUUGAUCGGAGGUCUACCAGUGGCUGGUGUAUCUUUCUUAGUUCCAACUUAAUUUCCUGGUCAGCUAAGAAGCAACCGACAGUAUCUCGCAGCUCUACUGAAGCUGAGUAUCGUGGUCUGGCUAUGACUGCUACUGAGUUGCUCUAUUUGUCCAAGUUAUUCAAAGACAUUGGUUUUCAGUUGCCUUCUCUUCCACUUCUCUGGUGUGACAAUCAAUCUGCCAUCCAUCUUGCUUCCAUUCCAGUGUUUAGUGCCCGGACUAAACAUGUGGAGGUUGAUUAUCAUUUUACAAGGGAAUUGGUUCAACAAAGGUUCUUGUCUGUUAAAUUUGUUUCCUCUGAACAUCAGCUUGCUGAUAUCUUUACCAAACCUUUAUCUGCUGCCAGACAUUCUCUUCUUCGCACCAAGCUCACAGUGCGUUCUCCUCCCUUCAGCUUGAGGGGGGCUAAAGGCAGUAAAUAGUUUGUUAGUUAGUUAGCCAUCUGUAACUAAUCUUAUACAGCUGUAUUUGACAGCUCAUCAUUGUAAUUUCAUAUAAAGCUUG